AUUGAACGCUGGCGGCAGGCUUAACACAUACAAGUCGAGCGGGGGAGGUUGCUUCGGUAACUGACCUAGCGGCGGACGGGUGAGUAAUGCUUAGGAAUCUGCCUAUUAGUGGGGGACAACAUUCCGAAAGGGAUGCUAAUACCGCAUACGCCCUACGGGGGAAAGCAGGGGAUCUUCGGACCUUGCGCUAAUAGAUGAGCCUAAGUCGGAUUAGCUAGUUGGCGGGGUAAAGGCCUACCAAGGCGACGAUCUGUAGCGGGUCUGAGAGGAUGAGCCGCCACACUGGGACUGAGACACGGCCCAGACUCCUACGGGAGGCAGCAGUGGGGAAUAUUGGACAAUGGGGGGAACCCUGAUCCAGCCAUGCCGCGUGUGUGAAGAAGGCCUUAUGGUUGUAAAGCACUUUAAGCGAGGAGGAGGCUACUUUAGAUAAUACCUAGAGAUAGUGGACGUUACUCGCAGAAUAAGCACCGGCUAACUCUGUGCCAGCCGCCGCGGUAACAC
rnacentral:rRNA from 1 species